rnacentral:rRNA from 1 species
CCUUGGAGAGGGGAAUAACACAGAGAAAUUUGUGCUAAUACCGCAUGAUGCAGUUGGGUCGCAUGGCUCUGACUGCCAAAGAUUUAUCGCUCUGAGAUGGCCUCGCGUCUGAUUAGCUAGUUGGCAGGGUAAUGGCCUACCAAGGCGACGAUCAGUAGCCGGCCUGAGAGGGUGAUCGGCCACAUUGGGACUGAGACACGGCCCAA